rnacentral:rRNA from 1 species
GCUUGUCUCAAAGAUUAAGCCAUGCAUGUUCAAGUAUAGCAAGUGUACAGUGAAACUGCGAAUGGCUCAUUAAAUCAGUUAUCGUUUAUUUGGUGGUUGUUUACUACAUGGAUAACCUUGGUAAUUCUAAAGCUAAUACAUGCGCAAAAGCCUGACUUAUUGGAAAGGCUGCGUUUAUUAGAUACAGAACCAACCCAGGUUCGCCUGGACUCUGGCGAGUCAUGAUAACCGAGCGAAUGGCAUGGCAUCAGCUGGCGAUGUACCAUUCAAGUUUCUGACCUAUCAGCUUCCGACGGUAGGGUAUUGGCCUACCGUGGCAAUGACGGGUAGCGGAGAAUUAGGGUUCGAUUCCGGAGAGGGAGCCUGAGAAACGGCUACCACAUCUAAGGAAGGCAGCAGGU